CCUACGGGUGGCAGCAGUGGGGAAUAUUGGGCAAUGGGCGCAAGCCUGACCCAGCAACGCCGCGUGAAGGAAGAAGGCUUUCGGGUUGUAAACUUCUUUUCUGAGGGACGAAGAAAGUGACGGUACCUCAGGAAUAAGCCACGGCUAACUACGGGCCAGCAGCCGCGGUAAUACGUAGGUGGCAAGCGUUAGCCGGAUUUAUUGGGUGUAAGGGGCGUGUAGGCGGGAUAGCAAGUCAGAUGUGAAAACUCAGGGCUCAACCCUGAGACUGCAUGUGAAACUGUUUUUCUUGAGUGCUGGAGAGGUAAGCGGAAUUCCGUGUGUAGCGGUGAAAUGCGUAGAUAUACGGAGGAACACCAGUGGCGAAGGCGGAUUGCUGGACAGUAACUGACGCUGAGGCGCGAAAGCGUGGGGAGCAAACAGGAUUAGAUACCCCAGUAGUC
rnacentral:rRNA from 1 species